AUCUCUGCAUUUUUAUACCACACCACCAGCGUUCAUUGACGAAUGUGUUGAAGUUUUUGUUUUGAAUCUUCUGGAAGAGGAAGACAUUCUCUUCCCGAAAGGAGAAGUUAUCUUCUGGAAGCUUCUGUUUGGCCGGAUAGAGGGGGCUAA